rnacentral:misc_RNA from 1 species
GAGAGAGAGAGUAUGUUCUGUGUGUAAUUCCCGCAGAUUCCAGAGAUCCUAAUUUUAGACCAUAAAGUGAAAAAGAAAAUACAUAGAAAAAGCAAAAGCACAAACAUCCCAUCUCUCUCUCUCUCUCCAGAAUUCUCCUCUGCCUUAUCUUUUUCUUUCUAUCUUCCUCUUAGAAGUGAAGAAAGAGAGUGUGACUGCGUCUGCGUCUGCGUACGUGUUUUGUUUGAUGCAAAUGGAGCUAGGGUUUUUACAAAACCCAUUUUUGGUCUUCACUGUACUUAUUCUUCUUCUUUUAUCUUCUAGAGGGUUGAAGCAUUCAGAUCUGAGGAUUUGAAGAUUUCUCUUUCGUGCUAUCAGUUUUGGUUCAAGUCCUCUCUUUUAACAGAUUUAAAGAUAUGUUUUUACUUUGGCUUUUAUCAGCAUCAGUUUCGACUUCUUGUUUCUCUCUUUUCAGACCCUUUUCUUCUCUCUCUUAGACUCUUAGUUAUCGGUUAAGGUUUGUUUUGCUUCUUUGAAUGUUUGGAUCACUUUCCUAUAUUUCAGUUCCCCCAAGUUUAGGUUACCUAGCAUGGCAUUUUGCAACGGCUAAUUUGAAGUUCUAAUUCCUUACUUUCAGGGCUUUUCAAAUCCAUUUGAAUCCAAACUUUGUUUAGUUCGUGGAUCAUCAAAAAACUAUACUGUUUAAGUUCAGCUUGAAAAAGAAAAUUGUAUUUUUUUGGAGAUUUGCCCUUCUCUCAAUUGACCCUACAAGAUGCAGAGGCCACCACCAGAGGAAUUUGUAUUGAAGGAGACCAAUCCCCAUUUGGGAGGGGGAAAGAUCACUGGUGACAAGCUCACCAGCACCUAUGAUCUCGUUGAGCAGAUGCAGUACCUCUAUGUCCGGGUUGUGAAGGCCAGGGACUUGCCGGCGAAAGAUGUUACGGGUAGUUGUGACCCUUAUGUGGAAGUUAAGCUGGGAAACUACAGGGGUACCACCCGGCAUUUUGAGAAGAAGACCAACCCUGAGUGGAACCAGGUGUUUGCAUUCUCAAAGGAACGUAUUCAGUCCUCGGUGCUUGAGGUAACUGUCAAGGAUAAAGAUGUUGCUAAGGAUGAUUUCAUUGGUCGUGUUUGGUUUGAUUUGAAUGAGAUACCAAAACGUGUACCGCCAGAUAGUCCAUUAGCACCCCAGUGGUAUAGAUUGGAGGAUAAAAAAGGAGAUAAAAUAAAGGGAGAAUUGAUGUUAGCUGUGUGGAUGGGUACACAAGCAGAUGAAGCUUUUCCAGAAGCAUGGCAUUCUGAUGCAGCGGCUGUAAGUGGAAUAGAUAGUCUUGCCAAUAUUCGUUCAAAGGUAUAUCUCUCCCCGAAACUCUGGUAUUUGAGGGUCAAUGUAAUUGAAGCUCAAGACUUGCAACCAACUGAUAAAGGUCGGUAUCCAGAAGUUUUUGUGAAGGUUAUUCUGGGAAAUCAAGCCUUGAGAACAAGAAUUUCGCCCGGCAGGAGUAUCAAUCCCAUGUGGAAUGAGGACCUUAUGUUUGUGGCGGCAGAACCGUUUGAGGAGCCUUUGAUCUUGAGUGUGGAAGAUAGAGUUGCAC